rnacentral:rRNA from 1 species
UACGAAGGGGCUAGCGUUGUUCGGAAUUACUGGGCGUAAAGCGCACGUAGGCGGAUUGUUUAGUGAGGGGUGAAAUCCCAGGGCUCAACCCUGGAACUGACUCUCAUACUGGCAAUCUCGAGUUCGAGAGAGGUGAGUGGAAUUCCGAGUGUAGAGGUGAAAUUCGUAGAUAUUCGGAGGAACACCAGUGGCGAAGGCGGCUCACUGGCUCGAUACUGACGCUGAGGUGCGAAAGCGUGGGGAGCAAACAGGAUUAGAUACCCGCGUA